UCGUCAGCUCGUGUCGUGAGAUGUUGGGUUAAGUCCCGCAACGAGCGCAACCCACGUAUUUAGUUGCUAACGGUUCGGCCGAGCACUCUAAAUAGACUGCCUUCGUAAGGAGGAGGAAGGUGUGGACGAUGUCAAGUCAUCAUGGCCCUUAUGCCCAGGGCGACACACGUGCUACAAUGGCAUAUACAAUGAGACGCAAUACCGCGAGGUGGAGCAAAUCUAUAAAAUAUGUCCCAGUUCGGAUUGUUCUCUGCAACUCGAGAGCAUGAAGCCGGAAUCGCUAGUAAUCGUAGAUCAGCCAUGCUACGGUGAAUACGUUCCCGGGUCUUGUACUCACCGCCCGUCACACCAUGGGAGUUGAUUUCACUCGAAGCCGGAAUACUAAACUAGUUACCGUCCACAGUGGAAUCAGCGACUGGGGUGAAGUCGUAACAAGGUAACCGUAGGAGAACCUGCGGUUGGAUCACCUCCUUUCUAG
rnacentral:rRNA from 1 species